rnacentral:rRNA from 1 species
CUGGUUGAUCCUGCCAGUAGUCAUAUGCUUGUCUCAAGGAUUAAGCCAUGCAUGUCUAAGCGUAAGUGUUUAACGGCGAAGCUGCGAACGGCUCAUUAAAUCAGUUAUAAUCUACCUGUCGGCGGCUUUUUUACAUGGAUAACUGUAGUAAUUCUAGAGCUAAUACAUGCAAGGCACCACGCAAGUGGUGGCAUUAUCAGGAUACACUCUGCACGCCAGUCUUACCAACUGGCUUUAGGCGAACCUAGAUAAUCUACGCGAUCGUGUUCCUUCGGGAGACGACACGACAGUCGAGUUUCUGACCUAUCAAGUUGAUGGUGACUUAUUGGCUCACCAUGCUCGUCACGGGUAACGGGGAAUUAGGGUUCGAUUCCGGAGAGGGAGCCUGAGAAAUGGCUACCACUUCCAAGGAAGGCAGCAGGCGCGCAAAUUACCCAAUGUUAAUACAACGAGGUAGCGACGAGAAAUAACGAUGCCGAUCCUUCGGGGUUGGUAAUCGUCAUGAGCACAAAGUAAACAUCUUAACGAGGAACAAUUGAGGAAAAGUCUGGUGCCA